AUUGCUUCUCAGCCUUUUGACUAAGAUCGAGUGUAGUAUCUGUUCUUAUCAGUUUAAUAUCUGAUACGUCCUCUAUCUGAGGACAACAUAUUAAAUGGAUUUUUGGAGCAGGGAGAUGGAAUAGGAGCUUGCUCCAUCCACUUCACGCAUCGACCUGGUAUUGCAGUACCUCCGGGAAUGGUGCACUAAAA
rnacentral:snRNA from 1 species